rnacentral:rRNA from 1 species
UACGUAGGGUGCAAGCGUUGUCCGGAAUUAUUGGGCGUAAAGAGCUCGUAGGCGGUUUGUUGCGUCGGCUGUGAAAUCCCGGGGCUCAACUCCGGGCCUGCAGCCGAUACGGGCAGACUAGAGUUCGGCAGGGGAGACUGGAAUUCCUGGUGUAGCGGUGAAAUGCGCAGAUAUCAGGAGGAACACCGGUGGCGAAGGCGGGUCUCUGGGCCGAUACUGACGCUGAGGAGCGAAAGCGUGGGGAGCAAACAGG